GUCUACGGCCAUGCCACUCGAUGGCCUGAUCCCGUCUGAUCUCAGAAGCUAAGCAGGGUCGGGCCUGGUUAGUACUUGGAUGGGAGACCACCUAGGAAGACCAGGUACUGUAGGCA
rnacentral:rRNA from 1 species